AUUGGUUAGCUCCUGAUCCUACUGGUGAUAGUACGAAAGCAUUUUGUAAAUAUUGCCCUACUAUUUAUGCAGCGCGUAAAAAAGAUUUAAUAAAGCACACCUCAGCAACUAAACACAUAAAUGCUGUUGAAAAAAAACAAGAGAAAACGUGUCGUUCGUUGCCAGUUAUAAAACCUCCAGACACUAAAGUUAAGGUUGCAGAACUUCAGCAUGUAGCUUUUAUAGCAGAACACACAUCGAUUAUUAAAAUUGAUUGAGUUGUUAAAAAAAACUUAGCCUGAUUCGGCAAUUUUGCUGCAGAAACACUGCCUCGUCAACUGGAAUAUCUUGUCAGGGAAGCUCAUAAUUGGUUUUCCAAUAGUCCAAAAUGCAAAGACGAGUAUAGAUUACUUUACAAUGUUAUGAAUAAGGCUAAGGAUCCGAAAAAAUUGCUGGUCUGAGCGGAAUACGAUGGUUUGCAAGAUAUUCAGCUAUUAAUACUAUUUUGAGCAGUAGGAUGAAUUAUAACUGAGCUAGCUAAAAGUAACGAGAAAUGUGUACAAGCGCAGUUCUUUUAAGAUAUAAUGUUUCAAAAUUAUCUGAUGCAUACAUCAUCAAUUAUUUUUGGUUACAACUUUGAUCAGGCAGCAAAAUCAGUUCCACUAAAUGAAAAAUCCAUCGUGAUCGAUGUAAAGAAUUUUUAGUAAAAUUAUGUACUGAAAUCCAUGAACGAUUACCUGUUAAUAUUGCACUCUUAAAAUCAUUUAAUGUUCUUACACCGUUAUACGCUACAUCACAAAGGAAUAUAUUGAAAUUGUUGAAGCAAUUUAUAAAAGAACCAUUGUACGGAUCGAAAGGUCACAUUAUGAAAGAAUAAACAUGGUAUUCAAUAAACCGUGGGCAAACACCGAAGAAACAGUUCCAUUUUGGUCGAAUGUUUAUGAAGAUCUUGAUUCAGGUGGUAACAAAAGAUUUAAAAAUGUGGCCAAAAUUUCUUUAGCACUGUUAACUAUUCCUAUUUCAAAUGCUGUUGUCGAGAGAGCAUUUUCAACAUAUGCUGUGAUAAAAAAUAAGUUAAGGAACAAAUUAGCAUUAUAUUGUAUAUGGUUCAGAGUAUAAUAAUAGUCAAAUUUUCUUUGCAACGAGUUUACAAACAAUGUACUUUACUUUAACCUACAAAAGAAAUGCUGAGAAACAUACAGUUCACAUGUAAGAUUUUAAAAAUGACGGGCUCGGAGUUUCAGGAAUUGGCGCUUUAACAAACGCAAUAUACAUACAUAUGUACGUAUGAUGAUAUGAACAGAUUAAUAUAUAUUAAUUUAUUAUUAAAAAUAUUAGUAAAGUAUAAUAUAUAACAA